rnacentral:rRNA from 1 species
UGGGGAAUAUUGCACAAUGGGCGCAAGCCUGAUGCAGCCAUGCCGCGUGUAUGAAGAAGGCCUUCGGGUUGUAAAGUACUUUCAGCGGGGAGGAAGGGAGUAAAGUUAAUACCUUUGCUCAUUGACGUUACCCGCAGAAGAAGCACCGGCUAACUCCGUGCCAGCAGCCGCGGUAAUACGGAGUGUGCAAGCGUUAAUCGGAAUUACUGGGCGUAAAGCGCACGCAGGCGGUUUGUUAAGUCAGAUGUGAAAUCCCCGGGCUCAACCUGGGAACUGCAUCUGAUACUGGCAAGCUGGAGUCUCGUAGAGGGGGGUAGAAGUCCAGGUGUAGCGGUGAGAUGCGUAGAGAUCUGGAGGAAUACCGGUGGCGAAGGCGGCACCAUGGACGAAGAAUGACGCUCAGAAGCGAAAGCGUGGGAAGCAAACAGG